GGUAGCACAGAGAGCUUGCUCUCGGGUGACGAGCGGCGGACGGGUGAGUAAUGUCUGGGAAACUGCCUGAUGGAGGGGGAUAACUACUGGAAACGGUAGCUAAUACCGCAUAACGUCGCAAGACCAAAGUGGGGGACCUUCGGGCCUCAUGCCAUCAGAUGUGCCCAGAUGGGAUUAGCUAGUAGGUGGGGUAAUGGCUCACCUAGGCGACGAUCCCUAGCUGGUCUGAGAGGAUGACCAGCCACACUGGAACUGAGACACGGUCCAGACUCCUACGGGAGGCAGCAGUGGGGAAUAUUGCACAAUGGGCGCAAGCCUGAUGCAGCCAUGCCGCGUGUAUGAAGAAGGCCUUCGGGUUGUAAAGUACUUUCAGCGAGGAGGAAGGCGUUAAGGUUAAUAACCUUGGCGAUUGACGUUACUCGCAGAAGAAGCACCGGCUAACUCCGUGCCAGCAGCCGCGGUAAUACGGAGGGUGCAAGCGUUAAUCGGAAUUACUGGGCGUAAAGCGCACGCAGGCGGUCUGUCAAGUCGGAUGUGAAAUCCCCGGGCUCAACCUGGGAACUGCAUUCGAAACUGGCAGGCUAGAGUCUUGUAGAGGGGGGUAGAAUUCCAGGUGUAGCGGUGAAAUGCGUAGAGAUCUGGAGGAAUACCGGUGGCGAAGGCGGCCCCCUGGACAAAGACUGACGCUCAGGUGCGAAAGCGUGGGGAGCAAACAGGAUUAGAUACCCUGGUAGUCCACGCCGUAAACGAUGUCGACUUGGAGGUUGUGCCCUUGAGGCGUGGCUUCCGGAGCUAACGCGUUAAGUCGACCGCCUGGGGAGUACGGCCGCAAGGUUAAAACUCAAAUGAAUUGACGGGGGCCCGCACAAGCGGUGGAGCAUGUGGUUUAAUUCGAUGCAACGCGAAGAACCUUACCUACUCUUGACAUCCAGAGAACUUAGCAGAGAUGCUUUGGUGCCUUCGGGAACUCUGAGACAGGUGCUGCAUGGCUGUCGUCAGCUCGUGUUGUGAAAUGUUGGGUUAAGUCCCGCAACGAGCGCAACCCUUAUCCUUUGUUGCCAGCGGUCCGGCCGGGAACUCAAAGGAGACUGCCAGUGAUAAACUGGAGGAAGGUGGGGAUACGUCAAGUCAUCAUGGCCCUUACGAGUAGGGCUACACACGUGCUACAAUGGCAUAUACAAAGAGAAGCGACCUCGCGAGAGCAAGCGGACCUCAUAAAGUAUGUCGUAGUCCGGAUUGGAGUCUGCAACUC
rnacentral:rRNA from 1 species